ensembl:snRNA U6 U6 spliceosomal RNA
GGGCUCACCUCAGCAGCACACAUACUAAAGUUGGAAUGAUACAGAGAUUAGCCUGGCCCCUGUGCAGGGAUGACACACAAAUCUGUGCAGCCUUCCAUAUUUAA